rnacentral:rRNA from 1 species
GACGAACGCUGGCGGCGCGCCUAACACAUGCAAGUCGAACGGAGCUUAGAGAGCUUGCUUUUUAAGCUUAGUGGCGAACGGGUGAGUAACGCGUGAGUAACCUGCCCUGGAGUGGGGGACAACAGUUGGAAACGACUGCUAAUACCGCAUAAGCCCACGGUACCGCAUGGCACUGAGGGAAAAGGAUUUAUUCGCUUUAGGAUGGACUCGCGUCCAAUUAGCUAGUUGGUGAGGUAACGGCCCACCAAGGCGACGAUUGGUAGCCGGACUGAGAGGUUGAACGGCCACAUUGGGACUGAGACACGGCCCAGACUCCUACGGGAGGCAGCAGUGGGGGAUAUUGCGCAAUGGAGGAAACUCUGACGCAGUGACGCCGCGUAUAGGAAGAAGGUUUUCGGAUUGUAAACUAUUGUCGUUAGGGAAGAUACAAGACAGUACCUAAGGAGGAAGCUCCGGCUAACUACGUG